AAAAAGAGAAAGAAACAAAAUUGAAAAACGAAACAGAGAAGGAGAAAGGAGAAAGAAAAGAAGAAAAAGGAGAAUUGGGGUUUUGAAGUUCCAAGCUCAAUUGCUAAUGUCGUGCAAGAGUCAUUGUCUGAGAAAGGAAAGGAGAAGGUGAACAAGGAGUGACUCGAGAGAAAUUUCGGUUAGUAGAAAGCCAGUGUCCGGUCCAGCAUCCAGAGCAAUCCCGACCUCAGAGAAAUUUUAGUGAUGUACCUUUGUUUUGAUAAUGUGGCAUGUACCUAGGUGAUGUAUAGGUUAAGUAUAAGAGUUUUGUUAUUACGGCUGUAGAAUGAUGUUUAAAAUGGUUAUCAGUAUGAAAUGGAACUAAAAUGUCAUAAUUUAUACAAAUAUGAAAUGAAAAUGAUUAAAGUAUGCUAUGUUUGUUAUUUAUUUGUGAAUUAGUUAUAAGUUAUCUGAUAUGUCUGGUAAUGCUCCAUAACCCUGUUUCGGUGACGGUUUGGGGUUAGGGGGUGUUACAUGAGAAGUUCUUAAAGGGUUAUUAUACCAUUAUAAGGUUAAUGAACAUUUAUGUUCAUGAGUUAGGUGAUUUAUAUUAUGAUUUUUAGUAAGGUUAAAAUAGUAAAUAGUAAAUAACUUGUAAUUAAAUUAAAUAAAACAUAAUAUGGCCAUGCAAAUUGGGUAUGUUCUUUGUUUAAUUUUCGAUAAUUUUACGUUUUUGAGAUCGUUGCUUUAUAUAUUACCUAGCCCAUGUUUUAAUUUUUAGAAUUAAUGAUGAUUUUGAGAAGUGCCAUUGUUGAUAAUGUGAUGAAAUUGUUGUUUGAUGAUGACAAAUAAAUCUUUGAUGUUUGAUUAUCAUGUUUAAUUAAGUAAAUUUUGAUAAAAAUCCAAAUUAGAGAUUUGUUUCUGAAAAUUGAAAAUUUAGGGGCUUGAAUGUGAAAUAAAAGAAAUAUAUGGAUUGCUAUGGACCAUACUAAGAUUCGGCUAAGGCAUGGUGUUGAUGAAUUUUGUGUAUUUUAUGUUUUGUGAAAUAGAGACUAAAUUGAGAAAAUAUGAAAUGUUAGGGGCUAAAAUGCAAAAUACCCAAAUUAUGUAUUUUUGAAUGAAUUUUAGUGAAUAUGUUAU